rnacentral:lncRNA from 1 species
UUCCAGAAGGCCCGCCAGGGUCUGAUUUGCCACUGUCUGCUUCCUCGUUGCCUUUGAAUGGGACCCUUGAUCCAAGGCUUUCAGAGACCAGCCGGUGCUGAUGGGGGUCCGUGACUUGGCGGUGGAGCCUGUUUGCUCCUUCUCUGUCUCGAGCAUGGUUUUCUAUCCUGCCGGGGAGGGCGAGAGCGCUGGGCAGAGGUGGCACCUGACCCGCUAGAACUCCGAUGUCACUGCUGUGGCUGUUACUCCCCUCGGCAAGAGUCAAGGCGCACGCAGGACGUGAAUCCUGCAAUGGACUGACCUCAUCUUUCCGAGGCUGUGAUGUUUCAGGAGAGUUUCACUAUUGCUGAACAACUGAGGCCACCAGGAGCACCUAAGUGCAAAGAAUGGCUACAUUUUUCCUUCUGGAUACCACCAGAUCAUUCCAGCCACCUGCCUUUGUGGUGUCUCCAGACAAGGGCUGACAACCAUCGAAGCAUCGAAGCCCUAAGGCUACAUGGAGAGAAGAAGAAUGUCCCUGGAGAAGGUGUGGGUGACUGAUUUUAAGAAAUUAGCAACACAGAAGCUGAUUUUAAAAUAUUCAUAAGAAGCUGGCUUUUACAGGGAGGGUAGACCUGAAGCUUUCUUCUUUGUACACACUGACACAAGA